CGGCGCUGGAGGAGGAGGUGGUGGAGGCAUAUGAGGUGCAGGAGGAGGAGGACUCCAAGAAACUGUCUGAGAUGUCUGAGAGUCCCGGAACUGCCUCGGAAGAUGAUGGACCGGAAGAAAAUGUCUCGACACCAUCAUGAAACAUCUGAGAGUAAGUACAGUUAGUUUUAUCAUUAAUUUUUAGGAUCUAUUUAAUUUUAAAAAAAAAUUACAGUUAGUUUUAUCAUUAAAAACAUAAUUUAAAAAUAUUGUUCCGAUACCUAACUAAUCACCUAAACUAAUUACCUAUACUAACCAAUUAAACUAAUUACCUAUACUAACCACUUAAACUAAUUACCUAUACUAACCACCUAAAACUAAACAAUUUUUUUU
rnacentral:lncRNA from 1 species